rnacentral:lncRNA from 1 species
CUCCCCUCAUGUUUGAUUAAUUUUUUAUCAAUUGUAAAUCCAUCACUUCUUAAGAACUGAAAAUCAAUAUUUCUUCUCAAGGCAACCUUUUUUGCAGAAAGAGGGAUCUUACUUGGGGUUAUGGGAGGAGAGGCUUGAACAGAAACUUGAGCAGUCCUCUUCCUUUUUUCUUCAGCUUCCAAUGGCCUCAUAGACUUCCUUCUUUGGGGUAGCCGUAUCUUAGGGGCCAUUGUCUCAAUGAGAGAAAGAGUACCGGGCAAGAGAAUAGUGGAGGGUGAAAGAUAGAUGGAAAUGAAGAGGAGUAAGGGAUUUUGAGGAGUUUGUUUUGGAUUUUUGAUAUGAGGGUUUAAGGAUUUGAUGGAGAGCAAGAAAAAGAGGACUUUGAUCAAGAAUAGGCCG